UCUGUCUACCAGUCGAGCUUUAACGGCGCUGGCUGACGGACGUGUUUCACUUGCUCUCAAGCCAAACAACAUAGUCACUCUCUCUCUGCUCACUAAGUCACAGUCGCAGCUGCCGAUAGCUUCGCGCUUGUAUCACGCUUAACUUGAAAUCGCCGUCGUCGCAAGCUAACAACUGAAGCUAAAGGUAAACCACAAGUUUACUCAGCUACUAUAACCAUAACAGACUCGACGUCAAACACCAAGCACGCCAUGAUUUUGCGGACUCUCCAGCUGCUGCAAGUGCUGCUGCUGAUCCUCGCCUGCCAGAGCUACAGCGAUGCCAAAAUGGUAAGCACGGACCCAUUGCUGCCAGAGCCACGUGCCUACAUGCCAGAUGCCCAGAACCUUGACUUUGUCUAUCACGACCAUGAAGAGCUGACGCGUUUCCUCAGGGCCACCAGUGCACGUUAUCCCAAUCUCACGGCGCUCUAUUCCAUUGGCAAGUCCAUACAGGGUCGCGACUUGUGGGUCAUGGUGGUGAGCUCAUCGCCGUAUGAGCACAUGGUGGGCAAGCCGGAUGUCAAAUACGUGGGCAAUAUACACGGCAAUGAGCCCGUGGGACGUGAAAUGCUGCUGCAUCUCAUCCAAUAUUUUGUGAGCAGCUACAAUACGGAUCAGUACGUGAAAUGGCUGCUGGAUAAUACACGCAUUCAUAUACUGCCCACCAUGAAUCCGGAUGGCUAUGCUGUCUCCAAAGAGGGCACUUGCGACGGGGGCCAGGGACGCUACAAUGCACGUGGCUUUGAUUUGAAUCGCAAUUUUCCGGACUACUUUAAGCAGAACAAUAAGCGUGGUCAACCGGAAACGGAUGCUGUCAAGGAUUGGAUAUCGAAAAUACAAUUUGUGCUGAGCGGCAGCUUGCAUGGCGGAGCCUUGGUGGCCAGUUAUCCGUACGACAACACGCCCAACUCCAGGCUCCUCAAAGGAAUCUGCCGUUCGUCUGCUCUCUGCGCGAUGUUCCAGACCUAUGCGGCAGCGCCGUCUCUUACGCCAGACGACGAUGUCUUUAAGCAUCUCUCUCUUGUUUAUGCUCGCAACCAUGCCAAGAUGUCACGUGGAGUAGCCUGCAAGUCGGCCACUCCUGCCUUUGAGAACGGCAUUACCAAUGGCGCCGCCUGGUAUCCUUUGACGGGCGGCAUGCAGGAUUACAAUUACGUUUGGUAUGGUUGCAUGGAAAUAACAUUGGAAAUCUCUUGCUGCAAAUUUCCGCCAGCCUAUGAGCUUAAAAAGUAUUGGGAGGACAAUCAGCUGUCGUUGAUUAAAUUUCUGGCCGAGGCACAUCGCGGCGUGCAAGGCUUUGUCUUUGAUCCCGCGGGUAUGCCCAUUGAGCGCGCUUCCAUUAAGAUCAAGGGACGCGAUGUUGGCUUCCAGACAACCAAGUAUGGUGAAUUUUGGCGUAUUCUCUUGCCUGGCUACUACAAGGCCGAGGUCUUUGCCGAGGGCUAUGCGCCGCGUGAAGUUGAGUUUGUUAUUGUGGAGCAGCAUCCCACGUUGCUCAAUGUGACGCUGCAAGCUUCCAAGCAUUUUGUGGGGAGCACGCCCAGGAGCGUGAGAACGACCACGACCACGUCCACUGCUCAGCCCAAGGUGCAUGACAAGCUACAGCUUCCCUCGGACUAGAGCUAUAGCGUGUUUGGACGCUGAUGUUGUGUAAAUAAUUCCAAUUUUAGUUGUUGGUUUUGGUAUUCCUUUGGAGCUUACUGCAUUAGUCUUCCCUUAACAUAACAUGACCAAAAAUAAAGCGCUGAUGUACCUUGACUUAUAAUUUGUUGCAACUUGCAUCGCUUUGUUGACCCUUGCCUCAAAUUUGUUGUGUCUGAACGCAUUGAGGGCGUUGGAGCUGGUGUACCUUCAUUCUAUCGGCCCAUGCAGUCACCGCAGCAGCACUACCGACCAGGCGGUCCGCCGCCACC